GACUCUAGACAUUCUUCUGACAGCGAGGCAGACAAAAAAAAGGGAGAAGAAGCAGACGGACAGGGCAAGGAUGAGUACAGCUGUGCUGCUGGCGUUUCAACAGCUGGUGAGGAGGGUGCUGGACUGGAGGGUACCCUGGGACAGAAAUUGGGCAAAGGGGGAAAAAAGAAAGAUGAGAAGAAGAAAGACAAGAAGAAGAAGAAAGACAAGAGAACGGACAAGGUGAGGUCAUCGAGGCGUAUAACAACAGGCCUUUCGAGAGUUUUAACCUUGAAACUUAAGCGGUACCGAGUCCACUUACCCACUCCGUGGGAAGAGCCGGUGUUCCUAAUGUUUCGUACAGUCUGUGUAUAUUUAUUUAGCAUAUUUAUUUAGCUUUUCCUUGCCUGCUGUAUCUCUGGCUCUGCAAUAGUCACGUUGUUAACGUAUAUAAUCCCAUGUAUAGAGUCCCAUGGUGUAUACGAAUCCCACGGUUAUUACCUUCUAACAGUAUUAAGCGUGUGUUUGUUAGACUUACAGUUUUGAAUUCACAAUCUAUCGAAUGACGGUCGUUCACAAAAAUGUGUCGCUUAGAAAGUGUCAGCAGAGGGCGUCAGAGAUGAACAGGUUAAAGUUACAAAGGAAUUCAACCUCUCACGCUUUUUCUCAGGGCUCUGCGUCUGAGAGUGAUGACGAUGACAAGUGCAAGAAAGACAAAGCAAAGGAGGGUGGUGCAUCAGCUGAAUGGAUUUGUGGCAGAGAUUUUCCUGAAGGAAUGGAAGCUGGAAACCUGAGUGAUGACGAGAGAGAAGGAGGCAAGGAGAAAGAGAAGAAGAAGAAGUUGAAGAAGAAGAAGGACUUUGGCUGUUCAUCAUCCUCUUCAUCAUCUUCAUCCUCGGAAAGCUCUUCCUCUUCAGACAGCGAGGAUGACAAAAAGAAGAAGAAGAAGAAGAAGAAGAAGAAAGCUGAGGAUUCCAGUUCUUCAUCCUCCUCCUCCUCGUCUUCAUCCUCCUCUUCAUCCUCUUCUGAUAGUGAGGAGGAAAAUAAGAAGAAGAAGAAGAAGAAGAAGAAGAAGGAGUCUAGUUCUUCAUCCUCUGAAAGCUUCUCCUCCUCUGACAGCGAUGAUGACAAAAAGAAAAAGAAGAAGAAGAUGAAGAAGAAGAAAAAGGAUUCCAGCUCUGAUGAUUCAGAUAGCGAGAAAGACAGGAAGAAGAAGAAGAAGAAGAAGAAGAAGAAGACAAAGGUGAGUGCCGAUGCACACAGAUAUUAUUUGGAGAAACCCAGUGGGCAGGGUUAUGAUUAG
rnacentral:lncRNA from 13 species